CCUAACUGCAUGUUUUAUGGUGCUAAUGUUUUCGAGGCCUCACUAAUUCUCUCUAACGCGGGGCUCCUGUGUGCUUUGCACCUCACUGCAUGCUUACUGCUCUGUUGUGAUUGUAGGAAAUGCACCUUGUCUAGGUUAGGGAAGCCCUGCCUCUGCUCCCAUUAUAAUCCAAACAAACAUCUGCAGGCAGUCUGCUCAUCCCACUGUGAUAAUUGUGUGUAAGUUUUUUUUUUUCUUUUUGUACCACUGCCAAAAUAUUUAUGGAUGGUUGAGGAAAGAAAGGGCUCAAACGAACAUGACUGUUUGUAGCAUUGUGUAUAAUUAACAAAAGAGACACCUUUUGAUUUAGCACCUUGACAGUUCAGUAGUCAGCACAGCUGCAUUCCACAGCACCAAUUAGCUCCCCAUCUGUAGCCUGGCAGUGAUAAGUCAGAAAAAAAGUAGAUAUCACCGUUGUUACUGUAAACGCAGAAAGAGGGUUUGUGUCAUUUUACUGCCUUAUUACAGUUUUUCUCAAUUGCUAAAACACUAAACCCUAUUGUCUGAACCAAAUGCUCAGUUGCCUGAACCCACUGAUUGAAUCAAUCACUCUUUUGGCAAAACCAUAAGCACUUUUCACCUGUUUAGACACAACUUGCCAACACAUUUUCAUUGUGAUGCACCUGUGCUGCAUAAUGGUGAGCACAGGUGACAAAAGUCAAACACAAUUAAAGCACAGAUGUCACCACUUGAACACAACAACUCAAAAUUGAUCACACUUGUGGCUAAUGAUGUGAAGGAACAUAUAAAGUAAUCCAGUUCAGAGAGCACUGGUUUGUGAGGCCCUACAAUGGAUAGAAAUCUGAGAGGAAGAGUUCGUGUGAGAGGAGGUCGAGGUGGUCAGCGAAGACCAAGAACAGUAAUAUCUGAUGAAAUCAGAGCUACUGUGAUUGACCAUGUUCUUGUCCAUGGUAUGAGCAUGAGGGAGGCUGGACAAAGGGUACAACCAAACAUCAGUAGAUUCACUGUGUCCACCAUAAUCCGAAGAUUUUGAGAACAGGUAAUUACCUUUUUUUGACAUUAUAGUACAGUAUGUAAAUGUUGACAGACAGAUGUAUGACAUACUAUAUACUGUACCACAGUAUACGGUAAGUAAAUAUAUGUUUCACAUCACUGUCCCAAUAUACUGUAGUAUUGUAAUGAACGGUUGGUCUAACUGUUUGUAGGCCUAGUAUUCCAUGUAUAUUUUUUUUGUAACUCCAUGUUCUCUUUUUGUAGAACUGAAAGACUGCCACAUGGGAGUGGGAGGACAGGUAUGUUCUCCCCACAUCAAGAGACCCUAAUUGUUGAUAUGGUCCAUGAGAACAAUGCCAUUAAACUGAGUGAAUUUCAGCAGAAGAUCAUUGAGGACCAUGUAAAUUUUGAGGGUAUCAACAGUGUCAGCCUCUCUACUGUUGAUCGUGUCCUCAAGCGCAACAGACUGCGCAUGAAACAGCUAUACAGAGUGCCCUUUGAUCACAACUCAGACAGAGUCAAAGAGCAAAGAUUCCAGUAUGUACAGAGGGUUUUUCAGCUGGAUGCAAUGGAAAGACCCCAUGAAUACAUCUACAUGGAUGAAGCUGGGUUUAAUCUCACCAAAAGGAGAAGGAGAGGCCGUAAUGUGAUUGGCCAUCGGGCUAUUGUUGGUGUUCCUGGGCAGCAUGGUGGCAAUGUCACAUUAUGUGCUGCCAUCAGCAAUCAUGGGGUUGUCCACCAUCAUGCCAACUUGGGGCCCUACAACAUUCACCAGCUCCUCAUUUUCUUUCUUCUCUCUUUUUGUACAAGUGCUAAAUGCACAGGGUUUUUUUGUUUUGCAACAUGCAUUUGAGCCUACAGUGAACAAUAAACAUGUAUUUCUCCAGCUUCA